rnacentral:tRNA from 1 species
GCGCCGGAAGUGUUGCAGGGAGCACACCCGCCAACCAGGCGGGAGGCUGCGGGUUCGAGUCCCAGCACGGCGCU